rnacentral:rRNA from 1 species
GACGAACGCUGGCGGCGCGCCUAACACAUGCAAGUCGAACGAGCGAGCGAGAGCUUGCUUUCUUGAGCGAGUGGCGAACGGGUGAGUAACGCGUGAGGAACCUGCCUCAAAGAGGGGGACAACAGUUGGAAACGACUGCUAAUACCGCAUAAGCCCACGGUGCCGCAUGGCACAGAGGGAAAAGGAGCAAUCCGCUUUGAGAUGGCCUCGCGUCCGAUUAGCUAGUUGGUGAGGUAACGGCCCACCAAGGCGACGAUCGGUAGCCGGACUGAGAGGUUGAACGGCCACAUUGGGACUGAGACACGGCCCAGACUCCUACGGGAGGCAGCAGUGGGGAAUAUUGCACAAUGGGGGAAACCCUGAUGCAGCGACGCCGCGUGGAGGAAGAAGGUCUUCGGAUUGUAAACUCCUGUUGUUGGGGAAGAUAAUGACGGUACCCAACAAGGAAGUGACGGCUAACUACG